AUUCCUAGAGAGGUGUCCUUCAGGUAAAAACAUGGUGUUUUUGUUAUUUGCGGUUUUUCCAUAUUCACGGGGGUCUUGUUCCCCUAACCCUAGCGAAUAUGGAGGGACAACUGUACAUGUUUCAGAGUAGUUAGUGAAGGGCUUGCUAGUUAGAUGUAGAUAUUUUUGUGAUAACUGUCACCACACAAAUUAUAUAUAGGUGGGAUCUCAAUUUACAUUGAGGUUGCAUUCCUGUACUUGCAGUGUAAACUUAAACUGACUUAAAUGAGGGGAACCAGUUCCAUAUGGUAUCACUGGAAUCAUGAAGAUAUGUUCCAUCAGAGCUAAAGUAGCCACAAAGCUAGGAAUUUUAUUCAACUUAUUCUAAUUUUAAAAGGGUUUAAAGCACAAAAUGUCAGAGUUUACCAUUUCCAGGCUAGAGAAAUGUGAAGAUGCUUUCCAAAGGGGCCAGAAGAGGCAGCAACUGCUGAUCCUAAGGAUGCUUAGCUGGAGUAAACUGGCUUGUCAUUAAAUCCCUGUUCCUCUUCAGAGGAGCACACAGAUGGAGAGUAUCUGUGGAUAGUUGAAUCCUUGGAUACGGAGAACUGACUGUGCUGUACAUGCCCUGCUAAGGCUUCUCCAGCAGGCUUGCCAAGUGAAGAACGCAGAACCCAGUUGCUCACCUUCUAUCUACACAAGAAGAGAAAAACCCUACCAGCUACUCCAGAAGUCCAAGAUUCUACCCCAGAAGUCCAAGAUUUCACGUUCUUCCUCCUGCUCACUUAUCCAUUUCUAAGCAGGCAAACAAAAUGCCUUCUUUCCAGUAAGAGUGCACUUGCUUUCUUCCUUCCCCACUCCCCCCAGUAAGGUAGGUAAAAGAAAACCAGUCCAGUCGCCUUUUCUUAACAUUCAGAAUUCUGUGCCAAAGCUUUAUAAACGUUCCCAGUCUUUCAACUUACCUUCCUUGUUCUCACCUGCAUGAGAGCUAUGCGUUGUGGGCAAGACUUUAUUUAUAGAGAAACCUAAAUUGGGGAAACAUGAAUUGAGACUCCCCUGUGCGUAAGGAAAUGUUAAUUGUAACAUUAUUGCUAGCUGCUUGAUGAGGAUAUAGUAUCUAAAAUUGUGCUUGAUAUAUUUAUAGAUCUGUAUGUUUUGGUUGUAAUGAUAUAUUGGUGAUUUAUGUACGCUUCUUGUGAGCCUAAUUUGAAGAAGUGGCAUGCAAAUAAACCUGAUGUUGAGACUGA